rnacentral:rRNA from 1 species
CGACCGGCGCACGGUGAGUAACACGUAUCCAACCUGCCGUCUACUCUUGGCCAGCCUUCUGAAAGGAAGAUUAAUCCAGGAUGGCAUCAUGAGUUCACAUGUCCGCAUGAUUAAAGGUAUUUUCCGGUAGACGAUGGGGACGCGUUCCAUUAGAUAGUAGGCGGGGUAACGGCCCACCUAGUCAACGAUGGAUAGGGGUUCUGAGAGGAAGGUCCCCCACAUUGGAACUGAGACACGGUCCAA